rnacentral:lncRNA from 1 species
AAGCUCCGCCCCUCUCCCGGCUACGCAACUUCCAGGUCCGCCGCCUCCGGAAGUCCGCUUCCAAAAGAAGGUCGAAAGUGCCGCUCUGUAGCGGGGCUGCGGCGUGACGCAACUUCCGCUCCCCUGUGGAGGUGAGAGCGGGCUGCCUCUAUAGGCGAGAGUGGGUGGGGGAAGCAGGAUCCAUGUUCUCAAUAGAGGACGAUUGAGACCGACAGCUAUUAUACUUCCAUCAGAAUCCAGCGCUCAAAACUACACUUCCGACACACCUCUAAGCAAGUGGCAAUAGGAUGACUGGCCUCCAUUAAUGCAAAUGCUGCUACAAGCAGACUGAUGCAAGUAGCGAGGUCAGUAUGUGAACUGGUUUCCAAACAAAUUACCUUUCUGGUAAAAAUAAACUGUCAUUCAAGAAAUUCAGAUUACCUAUAUUAAAUUAUUUUAACAAAGAAAUACCCAAAUUUGCAGUCCUACUUAUUUGUAGCUUUAAUGGCCUCAUUGGUACACUUCCAGUUUCUGUUACAUUUUUAUAUAUGUUUUUAUGCUGCAAUGCUGAAAAACCUACCUCAAGUCAACGGGACGUAUUCCCAACAAACAUGUUAAUGAACAGGUGCAGUGUGAUGCAGCGUUUGGGGAAAGGUGAACCAAAAAAUGACUUAAAAGUUCAUAGCAAUUGCAUAUCCAAGCCAAUUUCUAUUUCCAGAACAAUAUAAACUGCAUCCAUGAAAAUAUAUUUAAGGCUGAGACGUAAACAAAAUUAUCAGCGGUCUUCCUCUCUCUCUCUCUCCUCAGUUAUUAGGGCUGCACUGAAAAUCCACCUCUUUUGAUCUUCAGGCCAAAAGUAUACAGUGAUACCUUGGGUUAAGAACUUAAUUUGUUCUGGAGGUCUGUUCUUAACCUGAAACUGUUCUUAACCUUAAGCACCACUUUAGCUAAUGGGGCCUCCUGCUGCUGCACGAUUUGUUCUCAUCCUGAAGCAAAGUUCUUAACCUGAGGUAAUAUUUCUGGGUUAGCGGAGUCUGUAACCUGAAUCGUAUGUAACCCGAGGUACCACUAUUUCAGAGGCAGAAUGUAUCCCUCGUACCCUAAGUUAUGCAAACAUUCCUAUUCACCGGCAUUUUUUCCUUGAUCUUUUACAUCUCCCCCUCUUACACUGGGUUGUCAGCUUGAUAAUAUGAACCAUCAACCUGAAAUGGGAACCACAUAAUGAACUGGAUGUCAUUUUGGAAGCAGUAAUGCUUUUGAAUACCAACCAGCAGCUGGAAACCACAGGAGUCGGGGAAGUACUCUUGAGCACAAAUCCUGCUUGUGGGUUUCUCACAGCAAUCUGGUUGGCCACUGUCAGAAGAUGCUGGACUAGAUGGGCCAUUGGCCUCAUCCAGCAGGCUCCUAUGACGUUCAUAAGACACUAUGUAGCCUGAUUUGGCUAUGACAUCACUAGUAAGGACAAACAAAUCCAGUUCAGAAUUGUUCUUGAACUGGGUAACUCUUUUAAGUCCUUUUACAGCAUACAUUUUCCUGUUGUUGAAAAUGGAGAUGUAUUGAAGUGUUUUGUGAGAAUCACAUGCAAAAGGGCAAAAGGACCCAUGCUUUGGCUAUAAAAAUCUAGUUCACAAGUUAUUGGACUGAAAAAUAAUUUUGCCAGCAGGAUGGUGCCCAACCCGCAAGCUUGACAAAGAGCAAUCCAUUAAGUACAGAGGAACUGUAUGGCCACAAUUUGACAAGGACUGAGGACUUUGCAGCACUGAGGUAUGGAUGACACUGUCUCUGGUCCUUAGGGAGUCUCUAUGAUAUUCUGGGGUUUAUGUGCAGUCUGCUGUGCCUUCAGUGGCCACACCGGAUUUUUGUUUUGCAGAUGAUAUUUGUUAAGUACAGUACACUAUCCUGCCUAGGCCUGAACUGCAAGGUAUGAAAAAGAAAGUUUUGUUGUUUUUUUGAAUGUGCCUUUUUAUAUUUUAUCUUAUUGUACCUUUGGCUAUGAAGUGUUUAUAAAUCUGCAAAAUGAAAUAAAUAACAUGAAAUGGCUUGUGGAUCCCAAUGUACCUGACAACAUUAUUGGAAGCAGGCACCAAGGCAGUUGUGGGAGAUAUAAAAGGCUUAUUAACCAAUAAAUACAUGGAUUUACAGAACUGCAUCAACAUCUUCUGCAUGUCAUGUCCUGUGGGGUCUUGAGGGCUCAACAACUCUCUGUUCUAAGGAAGGCAUUCUGUUUAGGGGUCACCUAUUCUGCUUCAAUUCCAGAGCCAAUAGUCACCUUAAUACAAACUAGAGAUGCGGGUGGUGCUGUGGUCUAAACCACUGAGCCUAGGGCUUGCCGAUCAGGUGGUCAGCGGUUCGAAUCCCCGCGACGGGGUGAGCUCCUGUUGCUCGGUCCCAGCUCCUGUCAAC